rnacentral:rRNA from 1 species
UACGUAGGGGGCGAGCGUUGUCCGAAGUUACUGGGCGUAAAGGGCGCGCAGGCGGCUCUGAAAGUCAGAUGUGAAAGCCCCGGGCUUAACCUGGGAAUUGCAUUUGAUACUCUGGAGCUUGAGUACGGGAGAGGAGAGUGGAAUUCCCAGUGUAGAGGUGAAAUUCGUAGAUAUUGGGAAGAACACCGGUGGCGAAGGCGGCUCUCUGGACCGUAACUGACGCUGAGGCGCGAAAGCGUGGGUAGCAAACAGG